UGAUUAUUGUUCAUCUCGUCCAUUUUCAUGCUGUAUUUCAAAUGACAGAUAGAGGUAACCUACAUCUUAAUACAGCCCUGAUGACACGUCAUACGUGCAUACGUCACGUGUCAUGUAUAGGAGAAUCGCGCGCUUAUAGUGCAACAAUUAUUUAAUCAGGCGUUGGAAAAUGACGAAAAAAAAAUCAUAAACUCGAAGGACGUCCGCGCAAGAGAGAAAGAGGGAGAAACAUCGUAUAUCCGUCGAUUUGGCGGGGCAGAAUAAAGUCGCGGCCUUGGGAUAGCGCAUUCGGAUAUGCAAAUGUGCGUUGCGCCUGCGUAUAUGUGUUCGCAAGGACAUCGGACGCACCCCCGACUCAAUUUUGCGAAAGUUUAGAAGUUAACUUUCUCAUCUAUACGCACGCGGAGAGACGAUUUGCAUCUGAUUAUUCCUCGAUGGGAAAUUCGAUCCGACGUCAUUCCUCAUUUUACGUCCUUUUAACGAUCGGCGUUAAGUAUCCCGAUAAAAUGAAGAUGAGAGCUGAUGAUGACGAUGAUGGAAGUUGACUUUAUCGAAAUCAAAAAUCCAAGAAUGAUUAAAAACCGGUUGAUCAGAGUCGAGAAUGACAGAGAGGACAAGAAAGAAGAAGGAAGAGGAGAGAUACUCGGAUCGUUCUUCCUCGUACUUGGCGGAUGCUGAUGAAGGUGUGACGCAAUCGAGAAAAAAUUCCACCUUUAUAUACAUUAGCCAAUCGCGAAAGAUAUGGAAAACCGUGAGAUUUCUUUCAUUAACGAGCUCCAUCAUUAGCGAAUGCAUUCUUUCCCCGAUACGAAUAAUAAUCCUAAGCCGAUUAUCACAAUUCCGUUUCGAAAGGAAUCUCCCUCUUCUCCUUCAGCUACAGAAUUAACGACCGGUUGUUAUCAGCCGUGUUAUCAGGCCUAUUAAGUAUCGCCGUCAGGCGAUAUUUAAUUGAACGGAAAAUUAAGUAAGUUAAUUAAGUCUGUCUAAUAUAAUAGUACAGAAAAUUAAUAUAAUAGAUUGGUGCGUUUGUUUGUUUAUUGAGAGAUCGCACGCAUAAAACGCGCUCUUGUGUUCGUGAAAAUUCAAAGGGGAGACAAUGCAUUUGUUUACUUCAGUUUAAAGCAGAUAAAGAUCGAUUGAUCGAAUCGAAUUAUAUAUUACUCCGACCACGCGCGUUCCAGAUUCAAGCGUGUUUCUCAUUAUUCAGUUCGAUGCACCAGUACACAUUAUAAGCUGUCGGAUAUCAAUUUACAAUAGCAUAAGUAAUUGAAACAGCGAGAUAAUUAAUACUACGAGAUAUUCAAUAUAUGGAAUAAUAAUCAUCCAUUAAUUAUCUCGCUAUUUUAUCUUCCGAAAAAAUAUGUAUAUUAAUUUGCAAUAAUAUAAGUAAAUUAAACCGCAAGAUAAUUAAUACUA